rnacentral:lncRNA from 1 species
CUCUGGCCUUCCCUGCCCAGCCUCUGUCUUCAGUUUCUGCGUCCGUGCUCUCCACCUCUGCCUUUCCCCCCAAAGCCGAUCGAGGUGGAGAUCAAGAGAGGAAGGAGUCGGGGGAGAGGCCAGUUCUUUCACUCGGAAUGAAUCUCAGUCUGCAGCUCCAAGCGUGCAAGACGCCCAACUUUUAUUUUUCUGUACCUGAGCUCAGUUUUCUUUCCUGGCAAUCCCUACACACCCUCCCCUCUGCUGCCACAUCUCCCUAGAGAGUCUUCAUCUACCAGGGCCGGAAAUCCAGCCUAGGCUCAUCCUGUUUUCUCCCAAGUUUUCCACCAUGACCUUCCCUCAAGGGAAACAAGUAGGGAAACAAGAAAGAAAGAAAAAAAACAACCCUAAAAUACAAUAGUUGGUAGUAAAAGUUGAGCCCACUCCAGUCGAACCACCCAAAGGCCCUCCGCCCCCCUCCCCUGGUCUGCCGCUGUGCUGCUGGCAGUGUCCCUGCCUUGUCUCAACCUGCUAUGGGUUGAACUAUGCACCCUGCCCCCCAGUUUCAUAUGUUCAAAUCUUAACCCCCAGUACCAACCCCCAGGACCUCUCCUACUGAUAUUGCCCGUAUUUGGAAAUGGGAUCGUUAUAGAUAUAACUAGUUAGGGUGUGUUUAUAGUGGGAUGGGGUGGACUCUUUACUCCAGUACGACUCUCAUCAGCAGAAAAAGGGGAAAUUUGGGCCUAGAAGCAGUCACACAGGGAGAACACUGAGGAGGGAUUGGGGUUAUGCUUCUACAAGCUGAGGGACUCCCAGAGCAAGGAGAAGGCCUAAGAGCAGAUCCUAGAACCAACAGAGGGAGCGUGGCCUUGACCUCACACUUCCAGCCUGCAGAGCUGUGAGACAAGAGGUUUCUGUUGUUUAAGCCACUCAGUUGGUGGUACUUGGUGUGGCAGCCCUGGCCAACUACAGAUGCUAUGAACUGACCCAGGGUCCUCCUCCCACCCAAAGAGCCCCCAGCAGCCAGGGACUCCUGGGGCUCUGGGGUCCAGCAAUGACCUCACACUUGGCCUUUCUGCUUCUUGGCCAGUGCCCAGUUGCUGGAGAAAGAGGAAAGUCCCAGAGUUCUCUGGUAGUGCUCUCAGGAAGAGGCUCUUAGGGGAGUGCAGUUUUAGCUAAAUUACAGCUACGCUGCCCUACACUGGCCAGUGUAGAUGCCAAGGCAGUGAGGGGUUUGAGGGAAGCCAUGGCCACGCCCUCCUGUAUCCCAGAGCCUCCAGCACCCGUAGGCAGUGAGGCUCUGCUCUGCCUCCUGCCCGAGGUUGUGCAGACUUCCGGGUAACUCUGGGAAGGGGGAUGUUACGCUGGCAUCAGGCAGUGCCAGGACAGGCUCUGGUGGUCCUCGAGGCUGUAGCCGCCUGAUCUUCUUUUUUGGAAUCAAGAAUGCGUCAUCAAGUAGUUAACAUCUUACACUUGCUGGGGGUUUUAGUUCUGCAGAAGGUCUCAAGGACAUUGUUAUGUGUGUUCCUUGAGGGGGAACCAGACCCCUGCCCCAAGGCUGCGCUAUUGUUUCUUGAGGGCUCCUCCCUGGUCUCAGCGUCCCCUCCCUUCCCUGAUCAGCCUCUGUUGGAACCCGCCCCUUAGAGCUCAGGGAAGGCCAUGGAGACUGAGUGAGGCCCAUUUCCUAAGAACAAGAAAUGGGGGCCAAAGAAGGGCUUCUGUGUCCCGAAAUCCUUUCACAUGCUAGGUUUCAUUCUCGGGGUGGGAAGGGUGAGUCCAGAAGUACAGGGGCCCUAACCAGCCUAGUGCUUUCAUCCUCCUGCGGAGAAUUGGGCACAGUGGUGACAAAACCACGAGGGGGUAGCAGGAGGGCACGGUGGGGGAGGAUGGAGACGGGCACGCCUCCUUUCAAGGCCCAGUAGAAAGCUAACAGGCCAUAGAUGCUCAGGUACAGUGCUAGAGUCAGCUUGGGAACAUUCAGACGUGGCUCUGGAAAAAAAUGGGAAUAACUCGGAUUGUGGAGAGGGGGAGGUGCGCUGGCACAGCUGAGUGAGGGAGGCCAUGGGACCUGCGGGGCAUGAAGGAAAUGGGUUUGUGCAGUGAAGCUUCAGAGCUGGUUGUGUGCUGACACACUGUGACCUGCUGGGCACCAUCCAAAAUGAGCUACACAUCAUCCUCGUGGAGUUAGACAUGGACAUCAGAUACAAGGCUAGACAUAAAUAUGGCAGGUAACAUCCACGGCUGUGGUUGGUGGUCCUGGGACAAUGUUGAGCAUGAAAAGACAGGACAUACAUACAGCAGGACAAGAGGCUUAAGACGACCCUCGAAACUAGAAUGGAAGGUCCAUAAAAAAUGACCCAAUCCAUCAGAUUAAAUAUUAACAUGCGUGAAAUACAAUGGAAUGGGUGUGUUUGAAGAGCACAUAUUGACAUAAGAUUGACAAGAAUUUUCUCAGAAGACGCAGGGUAGGUUUGGAGAAAUGAUCAACUCACUUCUAAGUACACACGCAUUGGAGUUCCCUGGUGGCUCAGCAGGUUAAAGAUGCAGCAUUGUCACUGCUGCGGCUUGGGUCACUGAUGUGCCGCAGGUUUGAUCCCUGGCUCAGGAACUUCUGCAUGCUGUAGUCACAGCGGAAGGAAGGAAGGAAGGAACACACACACAUGCAUGACACAUUCCUUUACAUGUAUAUUCAGGUAUACAGACAGCUAGAUAGAUACAAGUACACGCACCUAUGACCGCCACAAAACACAGUGCUGGCUUUGUCAUGUGUGAUUUGUUUUUUGUCUUUUUUUUAAUUUCAAUUAAUUAAAGGAUAAUAGUUAAGAGCUUUAGAAUCAAGCAUGUCUGACUUUGCAUAUGAGUUUCAUUAUUUAGGGUCUUGACUGGAUUAACUUCCUUGAGUUUCAAUUUCCUUAUCUAUGAACUAGGACUAAUAAUAUUUAUUUCCAAGUAUUGUGGUGGGAAUUCACUAUGUCCUUUGUCUGGUACAGAGCAAAACCUUCAGUAAAUAAAUGUUUAUGCACCCUUUUGAUCAGCUUAUGUAUGGCUGUAUUAUUGGCUAUAAAUGGCACAUAAUACAUAAUAUUGGCACAUUCACAAUACAAAAAAUUUAGCAAGUGAAGAGUUUAUUGCUUAAAACAAAUCACCUGUUGAACCUGAAUCAAUCUGGUUUAUGUAAAAGAGAACAUUUUAAUGUGAGUAACUAAGUCAGUCGAGGGUCAGAACUUGCCUAUAGGCAGGGCGGUAUUCAGAGACUAACUCCUUUCCUUGGGGGCUCUGCUCUCUGGAUCCUUUAACGGCUGUGUUCCUCAGGGGGACACCGUGGCUGCCAGAGGCCUCAGAUGAGCUCUCCCUAGGGGAGUGACCCCAGUGGAAAUGCAGCUUCUUCUCUAACAGCUCUCAAAAAAAUACAAAAUAAAAUCAAAAGAUAGUGCAAAGUCUCUGAAUAGCCCAUUUAGAUCUUGCUGUUUUACUUUGAACUUGUCUGUGUACUCUGACUAGCAAGUCCAAGGCCACGGGUCUGACUUCCUGACCAGAGGUGGGGAGAAGGUCAGCCUCACCGAAUCCAGGGGUGGGUCCUUCGGUUACCAGCAAAUGGCAAAUGAGACAAUGGAUGCUGCCUGUGACAAUGUGACUGGAUCUCACUGUCACCCAGAGAGAUCACUGCUAUCAUCUGGUGCAUUUCCUUACAGAUUUGUUUUCCUAUACAAACAGCAAUAUGUGUGUGUGUGUGUGUGUGUGUGUAACCUGGAGAGAUAUUUCCAUAUAAAAACAGAUGGGAAAAUGCUUCCAUGCAAAAAUAGAUCAUACUACACACUUUUUAAAAUCACCAAUAUAUCACGGACUUCUUUCAUGUGAAUAAAUAUAAGCCCAACAAAGCUUUUAAAAUGGUCGCAUAGUAUUCCACUCUGUGACGUCAUAAUUUAGCUUUCCCUUGAAUAAGUUCUCUGAACGGGAUGGACCUUCUAGGAAAGGGCAGUUGUAUGGCUGAGUGGAAGUGGCUGGAAGUUGGCAAAGGGCUGAGUGGAAGUGGGUUUCCGGCUCCCCGUGUCUGCAGCCGUGGGUGGUGUGUGCACAGGUGUGGGCGCGUUAAGUGCCUAAGGAAGAGGCACAAGGAUGUUUCCACCAUCCAGGGUCCUCGCAAACUGCCCACAGGCUUGAGACAGAAAGGGGGUCAGAAUCCACUGCCCUCAGCAGCCUCUGAAUCACUUCCCAGCCCUGGUGGGCAUGUGAAGUACAGUUAGUCUUAGUCUGCGUCAGAUGCUGAAUCUUGUUAAGAGAGACACGCGGAUCCCUCUAAGAGCUUCUUUUUCAGAAUAUAGAACUCACGUGAGCAACUGAAAUGAAUCUAGGAGUAGAAAUUGCUCUUGUUUGCAAUAAAUCGAUCCAGGACAGGGGCAGGGUUCCUGAGAGAAGGAGGGACUCGCCAAGUUUGAAGUUCGAGACGAUGCUCCAUUCAAAAACCACCCUGGAAAGAACAUCUUUAGAGAAAUAUAUAGGUGAUGUAGAUUGUUUUUUUGGAAAGGUUCCCUUUCUACACUUCCCAGGGAAUCAUCGCCGAGGUUUUCAAAAUAGAAGGCUGCCUGGGAAAGCUGGGGGCCGGACUCGCAGGAGAGCCCCCUGCGUUCCCGCUGAGGCUCCUGGUACCCCGGCUGAGCGCGCGGCGUCAGCUCAGGCUCUGCCCAGCUCCCCGCCGCCCCGCGUGCUUUGCCAGCCGCACAGACGCCGCCGGGAGGACCGAUCCGUGCAAGCUGUAAUGUGCCAGAGGCCCCUGGAAGGGCCGUGGGAUGUCGACAGCUUUCCGUCCCUCCCGCCCGGCGCAGCGGGCUCCCUGCACCUGGCCCACGCUCAGCGCCCGCCCAGCCGCGCACCAGCCGCCGCCGCCCUGGUGCUGCGCGGUCCUCCGGAGCCCUCUUUGGAUGUGGAACCAAGUGCAUAGUGGCACUCCGAGCUCUUUGAAUCCAAGGCAGGGCUCCGGAAGCGAAGGGAAACACUUUCUUCAGAUAAACAUAUGGCUUUCUGGCCUCUUAGCAGAGGAAGGAAAUGCCCUUAACGUGUCAGGAUCUUGUUUUGAGAGCAUCUGAGUGAAAGAAGGCACCGAUGUUUAUGCUUGGCCCAUGCCCUGAUUCAUGACAGCUUAAAAAGGGGUUACUUUGUAACUCUCCCAAGGGGAUCAGAUCCUAAAACUAUAUGUGGAUCGUAAGAUACAAUAGAAGAUGUCAAAUAUUUCACACACAUAAAAAUUGUUUUAAGGAAAACUUGCUUUGCACAAAAGUUUCUCUCUUUAGCAUUUGCUGACAGGUAGCUAACUGGAAGACUAAUGGUGUUUGGGUUUUUGGUUUUUUUCCCCCUUUAAUCAACUCUUGAUUUUGUUCAUUUGAACUGAGAAAUGGGCAUAUAAUCCAACAAAGCCAUGAAUUCAAAAUCCUUCUGUCAAGUUCAAGAAUCUAUUAUAUGAUUGGGCAAGGAACAAACUCCUUUCCUAGUUAUGGCUUGAUUAAACCAACAGCAAACUUACGAAUACUCUUCCACUGUAUUAGGGGGAGAGGCAGUUUAGAAAGACAAGGAAGCAAAAUCAGGGUAAUGGGUUAGAGAGGAUGCUUUAACUUUUCUGUCUCCUUCUCUCUCUCUUCCUUCCUUCCUCCUUUCUUUCUUUCUCCUUCCUUCCUUCCUUUCUUUCUUUCUCCCUAACUCACAUAAAAUUACACUAACCACACAAGAAAAUAUCAGUUUCAAGAGUAUGUAUGAAUAUAAUUGGUGCCACAGGAAUUCAGAGAUACACUCAAAACCCAGAGGAUUCCUGACUUUCUGACUUUCUAACCCAUGCCAAGUGACCUCACCCCUCCAUGACCUUCUCCUGCCCUCCAUUCAGGAACCCACUUUGCCUGAAACACUCAAAAGCAUUCCAUUUGUAUUAGCUAACAUUCACCUGUCUCUCAACACUACUUUCCGUCUCUCAAGCUGUCUUCCUCUGAGGCUGCUUAGUCUGCACUGGUCUUAAGGAGAGCCCUGUCUCUCCUUGACCCUACCUCCUUCCCCUCUGUCUUCCCUCCCUUCUGUCUCUAACCAAGUUCUUGUUUUCCUUUAUUCACUUCUAUCUCACCAGUGACCUUGCACCCAGACACAGAAACGUGAAAACUUCCAUCCAUAAAUAAAAAAUGCAAUGGUUGUGCUUGCCCGUGACCUUCCCCAGUUCAAGCAGCUGGAAGGAUGGUCAACCACUGCACAAGAAAGCCUUCAUGGAUGAAGAUGCCAGAAUCUUAUCUUGUUCGUUCAAAAGUCUCAAUCCAGGUAUCAGAUAAGAAAAACUGGAAAAGAUUUGUGGUGAUUUAGAACUUGCUUUUUCUUGUCUACCCCCAAGUGGGGGUGGGGGUGAGGGAGAGAAUCCAGCUGGAGAGGAGAAAGAAGGAGAGGGAAGGAAAGAAAUGAGAUGCAGGUGUGUCUUGGGAGAAGUAGGAUCCUAACCCUUUGCCUCAGGUGUUUGGGGACCUGAAGGCAUGGGUAAGUCCCCAGUUUCCAUCUAGAGGGUGUGAGUCUUGCAUGAGUGUCUUGCAACCAGAAAGGCUUUGCAACCAGUAGGAUAGUGGUGGCUAAAGGGUUACCAGGGAGGAGUGAGAGGGCUGGGUCUCCUGCAGCCCCCAAAGAACAAGAUGGUGUUGAAAAUUCCCUAUGCUCCUCCUAGCCCCAGAGGGAGUUGUGAGUCUAGGCUGGUGGAUCUCCAGGGACAUGUGCCACCAGGGUGAGGAGAGGCUGGAAAGGAAGAAACAACGGGGACAGCCAGGAAGGAUCAGACCUUCUUUCUCAACAGAAGCCACGUGGAGAUGACACAUCUGACAAACAGAUGGGGUGGCGGCUGAUGAAUGGGCCACAUACAGAGACUUCUUACACUUGGUAGGGUAUCAUAAUGAUGGGAAAAUAUCAUUGUUUGUCCAAAUCUGUAGAGUGCACAACACCAAGAGUGAACUGUAGGUGGACGAUGGACUUAGGGUGGUUAUCAUGUGUCAGGGUAGGUCCCUCAGUUGUAACCAGUGCCCCACCCUGGUGUGGGAUGUUGGUGUGGUUAUGCAGAGAGUUUAUGGGAAAUCUCUGUACCUUUCUCUCAGUAUUGCUGUGACCUAAAAUUGCUCUCAAAAAUAGUGUUUAAAAAAAAAACAAACCACAACAGUUGGGAGAAGUUACAUUUCAGUGUAGUACAGCAUUGCACUGAAAACCCCAACAGCUGACCAAAUACCCCAACUCCCCUGGAAGACCACCAUGACCCUAUGAAAAUUCUAGAAGCAAGAGGAAGGAAAACAAAACAAAAGAAAUCCUUAAUUUGCCUGAACGUGGAGCGAAAAUGACCGUGGCCUAUACAUGAGCAAAUCUGACUGAGUUUACUUGCAACUAUCAGAUCGGGUUAGGAGGCGUCAUGGAAAGGGAAGAGGGGAUUCAAGAUACCCAGUGAAUUUAGUUAUAGAAAAAAAUUAGAUACCUUGUCGCAUACCGGCCAGGGGAACUUGAAUUUGUACUUAUCACCCUUCAUUGUCUUUUUGAUGCACCGACCCUUCCAAACCUCAAACUUGUAAAUUCUCUACUUUGCUUCCCAGGCUGCUGAGCCCUGGGGAAGAAGAGCACGCACUGGGAAGGAGUUAGGAGCCCUGGGAGGUGAGAAAGGUGGGCCUGAAGAUCUCCCUUCCUUUUUGAUGGGGAGGCUUGGACAGGCCAGGGGGGAAGGGGCCAUAAGAGAAGAGCUAGUGGCCGGGUGGAGGGUUACAGCUUUUUACAGAGAAGGUAUGUUGUGUGCGUUUUCACACUCAAUACUCACCAUAACCUGGGAGCGAGACAGACACCCCUUCCAGCUCUUGAUCCAAGGACAUGCAGCCUAUCAGCCACAGAACCUAGACGUGAUACCACUUUUCUGACUUUAAAUCUCACAUUCUUUUCAUCCUCCAAUGCUCCAGCUUCUUCUGCGGUGUCCAGAAGCUCGACUUUAGUCGAUGCCUUUCACUUUCCGUUUGCUAUUCGGUCUCAUUACUAUUGCUCCCAUUUUGCAGACGAGCCAACUGAGUUUCACUCCGUCCGAGGUCACUAUUAAGACAUUAAGCCUGGACUGAGAGCAGUUUUUCUGCUUCAUGAUUUGGUGCUCUAGCCAUUCUAUCCUGCUGGUAUUAAGCUGUAGGAGCACAUUAUUAAUGUUGUAUUUUUAGAGAAGCAAAAUACUGCCUUCCUCAUGGGGGAAAAAAUGAAUGACUAGUUGAACUUUUUUCCUUAAUUUUUUAUGAGGGGCACCUAUACAUCAUAAUACAGAACAGCGUUCUAGUUGAUUAGAUUUCCAUUUCUUUUCAAUGAGCCUCACUAAAAUUACACAUUUUAAUCUGAAGAAUUGAGAAAUACAGAUGUAAUUUCUGUGAAAACGCUUGGAGUAAGCGAAGCGUUACUCUUUAAGUAGAAACCACCGUUGCAAGUGAAAUGCUUAUCAUUGUUAAGAAAAACCAAUUUCUCAACAUUAACUUUGAAAUCAGCAGCAAAUGCGUUGGUUUGUUUUUUAAAUCAUUUCUCCCUGGUUUCCUUCCCUCUUUCCAUCAUUUUGCUGCACUUGCAAUUUGCUAUCUCAUUCCUGGCUCUCCUGUCUGCAAACUCUGUUUAGUGCAAAGCUUUGCAGAAAAAAAAAAAAAAAAAAAAAAA